rfam:Gossypium hirsutum cultivar TM-1 chromosome 15, whole genome shotgun sequence
AACCUAUGGUGGGGGCACCUUCUCUAUAAGUUCUUGCAUCUCUUCCAUGCAUCAUAUAAAGUCUUUAAAUCAAUUUGCACAAAGCUAGAGAUGUCAUUCCUCAACUU